rnacentral:rRNA from 1 species
UACGUAGGGUGCAAGCGUUGUCCGGAAUUAUUGGGCGUAAAGAGCUCGUAGGCGGUUUGUCGCGUCGGGAGUGAAAACCUACAGCUUAACUGUGGGCUUGCUUUCGAUACGGGCAGACUUGAGGCAUGCAGGGGAGAACGGAAUUCCUGGUUGUAGCGGUGAAAUGCGCAGAUAUCAGGAGGAACACCGGUGGCGAAGGCGGUUCUCUGGGCAUGUUCUGACGCUGAGGAGCGAAAGUGUGGGGAGCGAACAGG